AACAUCACGGUGGGCCCCACCUGGGUUCGGCGUCCCACUCUCUCGACUCCUUCCUCUUGCAGUUGAGUCGACUCGGAACCAUUCAAUAUCCGAGACCAGACCCGGUUUGCCUCCAACGUUCUUGUGCGAACUGCUAAGAGCAGAGAAGAAAUGCUUGGUGUGCGUACUAGGAGCUGGUGCGCCCACGAGCUCCCAUCUUCGACUCCCCUCAUCUCCACCUUCCAAAUCCAAACCCUUCAUCUUUCCAUGCGCUGUCUCUCCUCUUCAUUUUCUCCUUCUUUUAGGGCUUUCAGCGCUCUUGCUCUAUCCUUCUGCCGCAACCACCACAGAACCCCACCCCCUUCUCAUCCUCUCCUUCUCUCCCUCUUCUCUUCCGACCAAGACUCUAAGAAGACGGACCGUUCCCAUCUCUUCUCUACGUCAAAACCCCGCCCUGUUGUUGCUGCUGCUUUCGUCGAACACCUAGAAUCCAAGGACGGAGACGAGCUCGGAAUCCCUGACCCUUCUUCAUCCCUCGCCACUGCCGAUUUUAGGUUGCUUCCGUCGCCUUCCUUCGAGGUGAAGGAGCUUGAAGAUAUUCCCGAACAGUGGAAGAGGUCAAGGCUCGCUUGGUUGUGCAAGGAGCUGCCCUCCCACAAGCCUGCCACUCUCAUCAGGAUCCUCAAUGGUCAGCGCAAGUGGAUGACACAGGAGGACGCCACGUAUGUCGCUGUUCAUUGUAUGCGCAUUCGGGAAAACGAGGCCGGUUUCAGGGUGUAUAAAUGGAUGAUUCAGCAGCAUUGGUUCCAAUUUGAUUAUGCUCUUGCUACCAAGCUAGCUGAUUACCUUGGCAAGGAUCGGAAAUUCUCCAAGUGCCGAGAGAUAUUCAAUCAGAUAAUUAACCAGGGUCAUGUGCCAAGUGAAUCUACAUUUCAUAUCCUGACUGUUGCAUAUCUUAGUGCGCCCAUUCAAGGUUGCUUGGAGGAAGCAUGUGGUAUUUACAAUCGUAUGAUUCAGUUAGGCGGCUACAGGCCUCGGCUUAGCUUACACAAUUCUCUUUUCAGAGCUCUUGUCAGUAAACCAGGAGGUUCAUCGAAAUAUUAUUUGAAGCAGGCGGAAUUCAUUUUCCAUAAUCUGGUGACGUCUGAACUUGAAAUACAUAAGGAAAUUUAUGCUGGCCUUAUUUGGCUUCAUAGCUAUCAAGAUAUCAUAGAUAUGGUAAGGAUUGCAGCUUUGAGGGAAGAGAUGCACUGUAAAGGAAUUGAAGAGAGCAGGGAUGUGCUUGUCUCUGUGAUGAGAGCUUGUGCCAAGGAGGGGAAUGUGGAGGAAGCAGAAAGAACCUGGGCUAAACUCCUAGGGUCUGGUUGUGGUCUGCCUUCUCAAGCUUUUGUUUAUCGAAUGGAAGUUUAUGCGAAAGUUGGAGAACCCAUGAAGUCAUUGGGGAUAUUCAGGGAGAUGCAGGAUCUUGUUGCAUCCACUAGUGUUGUGGCUUAUCAUAAAAUCAUUGAGGUAAUGUCAAAAGCCCAAGAGACAGAAAUUGUUGAAACUCUUAUGAGUGAAUUUCUAGACAGUGGGUUGAAGCCUCUUAUGCCUUCCUAUAUUGAUAUGAUGAUUAUGUACUUUAAUCUGGGCUUGCAUGAUAAGCUGGAAUCUGCAUUCUCUCAGUGCCUCUUGAAAUGCCGUCCCAACCGAACUGCUUACACUAUUUACUUGGAUUCUCUGGUAAGCACUGGCGGUCUUGAGAAGGCUGAGGAGAUCUUCAAUGAAAUGCACAUGAAUGCAGCAGUUGGUGUUAACAGCCGAUCAUGCAACAUUAUUUUAGGAGGAUAUCUUGCUUCUGGGCAGUUUGUGAAGGCUGAAAAGCUUUACGACAUGAUGUGCCAGAAGAAAUAUGACAUUGAUCCUCCACUAAUGGAAAAAAUUGAGUAUGUUCUAAGCCUGAACAGAAAGGUAGUUAAAAAGCCGAUAAGCCUGAAACUCGACAAAGAACAACGUGAGAUUUUGAUUGGUUUGCUGUUAGGUGGCGUACGAUUAGAUUCAGAUGAAGAACGGAGGAAUCAUGCAAUCCAUUUUGAAUUCAACGACAGUUCUGAUGUCCAUAAUCUUUUGAGGAUACAUAUACAUGAACGCUACUAUGAGUGGUUGAAUUCUGCUAGCAGGCUAAGCAAUGGAAAUGAUGAUAUACCAUUUCGAUUUUCUACUAGUGCACACUCUUAUUUUGGAUUUUAUGCUGAUCAAUUUUGGCCAAAAGGCCGACCCAUGGUUCCAAAGCUCAUCCAUCGGUGGUUGUCAGCACGUGUCUUAGCAUACUGGUACAUGUAUGGUGGCCACAGGAGCUCCUCGGGGGAUAUUUUACUCAAGCUGAAGCAUGCAAGCCAUGAAGAUGUUGAGAGGAUUGUCAAGACACUGAAAGAAAAAUCUUUAGACUGCAGGGUUAAGAAAAAGGGGAGUGUGUUUUGGAUUGGUUUCCAAGGAAGCAAUGCUGUGUGGUUCUGGAAACUGACAGAGCCUUACAUUGUGGAUGAUUUAAAAGACCUUCUAAGUGUGGAUGGUCAAACAUUGAUAAAUGGAGCAGCAGAAGAUCAAUAUGUUGGCUUUGACACCGAGUCCGAUUCUGACAAGCAGCCUUCAGGUUGCAGUGGUGAUGAGAAUUUCUUUGAUUGCUUUCAACAUGACAGUGCAAAGGACACCCAGGACUGAUGGCACAAGUGUACACUUUACCAUAGGUGCUUCUUGUUUUUGACCCAUCUCACAGGUCUUAAGCAUUCUAGAAAGGAAUUUCAUCCCAUUUUGAUCGCUUGAAUCAAGGAAUUCCAGUGAUUGCUUUCUUGCUCUUAAAUUCAGCUUUUGAAGCUUUCAGGCAAAGGUUGUGUUUCUUCAUCAACAAAACAUUUCAUCUGGCAGAAAAUUUCAAAAACCUGAGGAUGAACAGAAGAAUGGCUGACAUUUCUGCAACGCCUUUGAAAACUUUGGCCUCCUCCAUAACAGUAUCUCGCUGUGUCCUGCUUAUCUUCAAAUUCCUGAAAAUGACUGCUCAUCUUUGAAAUAAAUAGUUCAACCCAAUUUUAAAUUACACAUACGGCUUCCAUCAUUAACUUCAUCAUCGCAAGGGACACAAUAUGGAUGCAUCUCAUUGUCCAACAUACCAGGAGCUUCAAAGCAGGAGAGGAACUUCAGAACAGAGAACCACCUUGGAUGGAUGAUUCAUGCAACUACGUUCAAGAACUUGCAAGGCAUCCAACUGGCAGAUGUAACUGGUACGUAUUGAAAGAGACCAUUCUCAAUUCAAGAAUAUAGUGAACUCUAUCCGUUUCGUUACAUUUACAGUUUUUCUAUGUACUGUUUGAUGCAUGAUUGUAUCAUAGUCAUAUCUGGUGAAUGAACAGUUCGUAUCCUAUCUGCAUCUGCAAUUUUGGUGAUUCAGCAGUGGAUAGGACCUCUUCCCUAGAUUAUGACAAUGGCUAGAUUAUGAGGCCUUGUUCUAAUUUAAAUCUAUACCACAC